rnacentral:rRNA from 1 species
CGAGGACGAACGCUGGCGGCGUGCUUAACACAUGCAAGUCGAACGGGGAUAUUCAGAUGAGAGCUUCGGCAGGAAUCAGGGAUAUUCGAGUGGCGGACGGGUGAGUAACGCGUGAACAAUCUGUCCCAGACAGGGGGAUAACACUUGGAAACAGGUGCUAAUACCGCAUGAGACCACAGUGUCGCAUGGCACAGGGGUAAAAGGAGCGAUCCGGUUUGGGGUGAGUUCGCGUCCGAUUAGCCAGUUGGCGGGGUAACGGCCCACCAAAGCGACGAUCGGUAGCCGACCUGAGAGGGUGAUCGGCCACAUUGGAACUGAGAGACGGUCCAAACUCCUACGGGAGGCAGCAGUGGGGAAUAUUGGGCAAUGGGCGAAAGCCCUGACCCAGCAACGCCGCGUGAGUGAAGAAGGCCUUCGGGUUGUAAAGCUCUGUUAUAGGGGACGAAGGAAGUGACGGUACCCUAUAAGGAAGCCCCGGCUAACUACGUGCCAGCAGCAGC